rnacentral:rRNA from 1 species
AUGCGUCGCUUGCAUCAAAUCAACAAUUCACCAUGGCUUCUAAUUGGGGAUUUGAAUGAGAUCCAGUUCUUGAGUGAAAAGGUUGGUGGAAAUCCUAGACCGCAACACUAUAUGCAAGCUUUUCAAUCUGCCAUUCAUGACUGUGAGCUAAGGGACAUGGGUUUCCUGGGGGACUAGUUCACGUGGCAGCGAGGUCGCAUUAGAGAGCGGCUGGACCGUGGCCUGAUUAAUGACUCUUGGGGUGCCCUAUACCCCCAUGCAGCUUUACAGAGUCUAAGUUACAGCCAUUCUGAUCAUAGACCCUUGCUU